AGAGGUGAAAUUCGUAGAUAUUAGAAAGAAUACCAAUUGCGAAGGCAGCUUUCUGGAUCAUUACUGACACUGAGGAACGAAAGCAUGGGUAGCGAAGAGGAUUAGAUACCCUCGUAGUCCAUGCCGUAAACGAUGUGUGUUAGACGUUGGAAAUUUAUUUUCAGUGUCGCAGGGAAACCGAUAAACACACCGCCUGGGGAGUACGACCGCAAGGUUAAAACUCAAAUGAAUUGACGGGGACCCGCACAAGUAGUGGAGCAUGUGGUUUAAUUCGAAGAUACGCGCAGAACCUUACCAACACUUGACAUGUUCGUCGCGACUCUAAGAGAUUAGAGUUUUCGGUUCGGCCGGACGAAACACAGGUGCUGCAUGGCUGUCGUCAGCUCGUGUCGUGAGAUGUUGGGUUAAGUCCCGCAACGAGCGCAACCCUCACUUUUAGUUGCCAUCAUUAAGUUGGGCACUCUGAAAGAACUGCCAGUGAUAAGCUGGAGGAAGGUGGGGAUGACGUCAAGUCCUCAUGGCCCUUACGUGUUGGGCUACACACGUGCUACAAUGGUAUCUACAACAGGAAGCAAGACUGCGAAGUUAAGCAAAUCCCUAAAAGAUACCUCAGUUCGGAUUGCACUCUGCAACUCGAGUGCAUGAAGCUGGAAUUACUAGUAAUCGUGGAUCAGCGUGCCACGGUGAAUGCGUUCCCGGGUCUUGUACACACCGCCCGUCACACCAUGGGAGUUGGUUCUACCUUAAGGCAAGGUUUCAAACCCUUGACCACGGUAUAGUCAGCGACUGGGGUGAAGUCGUAACAAGGUAGCCGUAGGGGAACCUGCGGCUG
rnacentral:rRNA from 1 species